UUGUGGUUUAGGGCUUAGAAAGGAUUUUAGAAACUGAUGAUGUCUGGGCAGAAGCUCUCUUAGAGAACCCCCUUAAACUCUAUAUCUCUUGGAUGCGUCCUUGAGUGGUGAUGUAAUAUCCCUCGCUUUUAAAAAUUAUUAAUAAAGAUUUAUAUGUAAAUUGGAGGACCUAUAUGUAAAUAUAGAAAUUACAAGGACUAAACUGCUAAGUUGCAAAAAAAAAGAAAAAAAAAAGGGAAAACCGAAAAUUCGGUAUUAUCCCACCGCCUCCCACGCACUCUGUUUCUUCUAGAAACAGAGAGAGCGGUGGGGCGUGAGGAGAAGAAGGAGAGUGGUAGAAGAAGAAGAAGAAGAAGAAGAAGAAGAGGGAAAAGAAGAGAGGAGGAAGAAGAGGGAGUAGAGAAGAAGAAGAAGAAGAAGAAGAAGAAGAAGAAGAAGAGGAGGUGGCUGCAGCGAGGGCUGCAGCGAGGAGCUGUGGGGCGUGGGGAGAAGAAGAGAGGAAGAAGAGGGAGAAGAGGGAGAAGAGAAGAAGAAGAAGAAGAAGAAGAAGAAGAAGAAGAAGAAGAGAGGAGGAUAGCUGCGGCAAGGCUGCAGCGAGGAGGUGUGUGUCUUUGGGUAGGAAAAGGGAAGAGGAGAAGAAGAGAAGGAGAAGAAGAGGGAAAAGAGAGGCAGCUGCAGCAGCCAGGGCUGCAGCACCUCUGUUUCCCGCAGGUGGAAACAGAGGAGAGGAUGUGUGGGGGCGUUGAGGAUGAAAAGGGAAGAAGAAGAAGAAGAAGAAGAAGAAGAAGAAGAUAGCUGCGGCAAGGCUGCAGCGAGGAGAUGUGUGGCCUUGGGGAGGAAAAGGGAAGAGGGGAAGAGGAGAAGAAGAAGAAGAGGAAGAGAAAGAGGGGUGAUACCUCUGUUUCCUGCAGAGGAAACAGAGGAGAGGGUGUGUGUGACGCCGGGGAAGAAGGGGCUGCAGCUGCGGCGAUGGCAGCUGCAGCUGGAAGAGAAGAAGAAGAGGAAGAUGAGCAGGGGAGGAGGGAGAGGUUGCGGCCGUGGCUGCGGCCGCGACUGCAGCAGUUGCAGCGGGGAGAGAAGAAGAAGAAAGGAAGGAGAAGGAAGAGGAGAAGGGAAAGAAGUAGCUGCGGCUGCGGUUGUGGCAGCUGCAGCUAUGGCAGGGAAAGAGGAAGAGAAAAAGGAAAGGAAGAAGAAGAGAAAGGGAAGGAGAGGAAGAAGAGAGGAAGAGGAGAAGGGGCUGCGGCUGCGGCGAUGGCAGCUGCAGCUGUGGCAGGGAAAGAGAAAAAGGAAAGGAAGAAGAAGAGAAAGGGAAGGAGAGGAAGAAGAGAGGAAGAGGAGAAGGGGCUGCGGCUGCGGCGAUGGCAGCUGCAGCUGUGGCUGGGAAAGAAGAGAAGGAAAGGAAGAAGAAGAGAAAGGGAAGGAGGGGAAGGAGAGAGGAAGAGGAGAAGGGGUGGCAGCUGCGGCAGUGGCAGCUGCAGUUGGAAGAGAAGUAGGAGAGGAAAUAGAGUAGCAGAGGAAGAAGAGGCUGCGGUUGUGGUGGCUGCGGCCAUGGCUGCGACUGCGACUGCGGCAGUUGCAGCCGGGAAAGAAAGGAAAGGAAAGGGGGGAAAAAAAAGGGGCUGCGGACGGGAUUGCGGCCGCAGCGGCAGCGACUGCGUAUGCAGCAGUUAUGUCUGUGAGAGAAGGGAGGAAGGAAGGUAGUGCGGUGGAAGGGGCUGCGAUUGUAGCAGCGGCAACGGCGGCGGCUGUGGCAGCUGCGUUUGGGAAAGAAAAAGAAGGAAUGAGAGUAAGAGAGAGCAGGUGACUGUGCCUCGAUGUUCGACACGUGAUGUAGUUGCGAAGAAAGGAAGAAAACGGGAGCACAAAACGAAACAGAGAGAGGACACGGAGAAAAAGUAGAAGGAUUUGGGCUGGCACCUUCUUUGGAUCUUCGGAUCGAAAUCUUUGAAAGGUCAGCUUGUCACUCUUCGAGAUGUUUGAUUUGGGCUGAGGCAGUGGAUAGCUAUUCAGAAUAAUGGGCAAGUCUGGUUGGUUAUUACGAUAUUGUUGCAUAAGUAUGUCUUGUAUGUAAUGAAAUGUUGUCGAUGAACCGAAAUGGAUAUACUGUGUCAAAGUGUUAGGAGAUCUCUCUUAUUUGGAAUUUCUGAAUGUUAAGCCUAAUUUAUAAUGAUAUGAACUUGUGGUGAAUAGUUGGAGUUCUGAUUGUAUAAAUUAUUUAGCUUGUGGAUUUAUAAAUGUUGUUCAUGUUUGUCAA